UACGAAGGGUGCAAGCGUUAAUCGGAUUUACUGGGCGUAAAGGGUGCGUAGGCGGUUCGUUAAGUCUGUCGUGAAAUCCCCGGGCUCAACCUGGGAAUGGCGAUGGAUACUGGCGAGCUAGAGUGUGUCAGAGGAUGAUGGAAUUCCCGGUGUAGCGGUGAAAUGCGUAGAGAUCGGGAGGAACAUCAGUGGCGAAGGCGGCCAGCUGGGACAACACUGACGCUGAAGCACGAAAGCGUGGGGAGCAAACAGG
rnacentral:rRNA from 1 species